UCCUGUGUUGUUAAAGGCGCGCCUGAGGCGUACCUGAGGCGUCAAGCGCACAAGGCGCUAAGAAAAUCGCCUUCUACAGCGCGAGGCGGGCUAUGUUUGCCAGACGCGCGCCUGGGCACGCCUAGGGCGCUUUCGCGCCUCACAGAAGGCGCGAUCGAAGCGCAUCGCGGGAUCGAAGGGCAUCACGCGAUCCUUCCCGUUCACGAUUUCAAACCUAAUUUGGUUUGGAAUUAGGGCACAGAGAAGAAAAGGGAAGAAGAAAAUAACGGAAGGAGAAGAAGAAACCUUGCAAAAGAAUCGCGCCAUCCUCCACUGCCGCCGCCGCUGCUGAGUUGCUUCCGUCGCUGCCCAGGUAUGAGUUUUUUCCAUCUUUUUUUUUGUUUUUCUAUUCUUCACUUCAUCUUCUUCUUCUCAUCUUCUUCUUUUGUAAUCUUCUUCGCUUCUUCGCUUCGCUUCUUCACUCCACUUCUUUUUCUGUUUUCCUUUUUUUUUCUUCUUCUUCUUCUUUUCGUCGUUUUCACUGUUCAAUAUUUCAAGUUUUCAAUGUUUUUUCAUCACUUUCGUUUCUUCUCUCUGUUAUAUCUUCUUCCUCUAUUUUCUUUUUUGCUUUUUCCCUUCCCGUUGACAGCAAAACUGCUGCUGAUGUGAUGCUGUCUCGUUUCUUUAUUUCUUUUUUUUUUUUUGCAGUUUUUCUUUUUGUUUUUUUUUUGUUUUUUUGUUGCUGAGACGGUAAAAAACUGCUGCUGCUGUGAAAACUGUGAUGUUGUCCCUGUUUGCUGGUAAUUUUAGCCAAUUAAAACAAUGUGCUUGCUGGUAAUGUGAUGUGCAAAUAUUUUCUCUCCCUUUUUGCAUAAUCAAGCAGUUGUCCCUGUUUUUCUUUUUAUUUUCCUAUUUUUCUAUUGCUGGUACUAGUGGUACAGUACUUUUCUAUUAUUGUUGAUACUAGCUACAGUAGUUUACCAUUCCAUUAAUUCAUUAUUUUUUUAAUUUUGUUUUUAAUUUUUUAGGUUAUUUUCUUAUUCAAUUAUCAUGGAAGGUAGUAGUGAUACUCCAACAUAUAUAUCAAAAGAUCCGGCAUGGAAUUAUUUUCAAAGAGUUAAUCCGAAUAACAAAAAUAAUUUAAUUUGUAACUUUUGUCAAAAAGUUACAAUAGGAGGUAUCUAUCGUGCAAAACAACAUCUUGUUGGAGGAUUUCGAAAUACUACGACUUGCAAGAAAUGUCUGCCUCAUAUACGUGAAAAAAUAAAAAAUUUCAUGGAGAAAAAGGCAGAGAAAAGCAAUCUUUCUAAACUUGCGACAUUAGACUUUGAGGAUGUAGACUCUCUUGGUGCUGAUAUUGAUAUGGAUGAUAUUGGAGCUAAAGUUGUACCACCUAUAAGUCAAAGUACAAGUUCUAGAUCAGUGAAUAUGCAAAAAAAGACCAAGACAAAUAAGUCCAAUGGAUACAUAUUUUGCUCCUAAUGUGCAAAAAAAUGUUGAAAGUAGAAAGGGUAAAGAAAGGCAAACUACGAUAAAUGAGGCAUACAAGAAAGCAUUGAGGGAAAAAACUUGUAUGACUAUAACUGAGUGGAUGUAUGAUGCAGCAAUUCCUUUUAAUGUCGUUAACUAUUCAAGCUUCAAAAGGAUGUUGGACUUGGUUGGCCAAUAUGGUGUAGGUCUAAAAGGACCUAGUUAUCAUGAGGUGCGGAUUCCUUUUCUAAAAAAGGCUGUUGAUAAUGUGACUAAUGAUUACAUUAAAUCGUGUGAAACAUAAUGGGCAAAGUAUGGUUGUAGUUUGAUGGCAGAUGGGUGGACAGACAUAAGGCAGAGGACAUUGAUUAAUUUUUUAGUGAAUUCUCCUGAAGGUUCAGUUUUCAUCGAAUCGGUAGAUGCUUCUGAUUAUGCAAAAACUGGAGAGAAAAUAUUUCAGUUGCUUGAUCGAUUUGUGGAGCAUGUACGAGAAGUAAAUGUUAUUCAAGUUGUAACAGAUAGUGCAAGUAACAAUGUGCUUGAUGGAAAAUUAUUAGAAGUAAAAAGGCCACGCUUGUAUUGGACUCCUUAUGCUGCUCACUGCGUCGACUUGAUCUUAGAAGAUAUUGGGAAAUUGCCUGAUUUUAAAGCAACAUUGAAGAAGGCAAUGAGUGUGAAUGCUUACAUUUAUGUUCGCCCCGGCAUGAUAAAUAUGUUGAGGCAAUU